GAGCAGGGAUUUAAAUUUAGCAGUCACUUCUGGGAAUAUUCUUGAGAUAGUUAAUAUUUAGCUUAAUUUCCUCAUCUGGUUUUUCUGCUUGUGGUUUCUUCUUCUCUGCAAUCCCUCUUGCACUGGCCAAUCGGAUCAUUCUCCAACACAGUUCUUACAGUGGCUACUACAUCAGGUGCACUCUCUUCUUCCUGGCAGGAAUAUUUUAGAAGGCUUUACCAAGAAUGUGGAAUUACACUAUGGCUUUAAGAAUUUGGCCAGAAAGAGGUCAGAGGAGGACAGAGCAAACUUCAGAAAUAGACAAGGUCUUACUCUGCUACCCAAGCUGGAGUGCAAUGGUAUGAUCAUAGCUUACUACAGCAUUGAACUUCUGGAUUCAAGAGAUUCCCCCACGUUGGCCACCCAAGUAGCUGGAACUACAGGCAUGUACCAUCACACCCAGCUUAUAUAUGUAUAUAAUUAUUUUUGGACAUACAGGAUCUCACUACAUUGCCCAAGCUGCUCUCAAACUCCUGGCCUCAAGAUGAUCCUUCUGCUUCUGCCUCUCAAAGUGCUGGGAUUAUAGGCAUAAACCACCAUGCUCAGUCCAAUGUUUUUAAUAUCAGAUACUCUUUAGUAUCUUUAAGAUUUUAUACACUGUGUAUGCAUUAGUUAAUUAUUAAAUUUUAAAGAAGUAAAUUAUAUGGAUAAAAGUAUAUCCACAUAUACCAAUUAAGAGACAAAGAUUAGCAGAACAUAUUAAAAACAUGACUCAAUUACCUGCUGUCUACAAGGAACUUACUUCAAAUAUUUGAAAUAAAUAUAACAAGUAAAUGGAUAGAAAAAGACAUAUUAUGUAAAAGUUAAUCAAAAGAAAGUGGGAAUAGUUAUAUUAAUAUCAGAUAAAAUAGACUUAUGAGCAGAGAAAUUUACCAGAUACAGAGUGACAUUACACAAUAUUUUUUAAAAUUUAUUAUUAUUAUUAUUUUAGAGAUAGCAUAUUACUCUGUCACUCAGGCUGGAGUGCAGUGGCAUGAUCAUAGCUCACUAUAGCCUUCAACUCCUGGCCUGAAGCAAUCCUCCUGCCUCAGCCGCUGGAGUAGCUAGGACUACGGGUGUGCACCACCAUGCCCGGCUAAUUUAUUUUAUUUUUUGUAGAGAUGGGAUAUUACCUUGUUGCCCAGGCUGGUCUCAAAUACCUGGCCUCAAGCAGUCCUCCUACCUUGGCCUCCAAAAGCACUGGGAUUACAGGCAUGGAUCAUUGUCUGAGCCUGGCCCUACAUAAUGUUAGAAGGGUGACUCUACCAAGAGAACAUAGAAGUCGUAAAUGUGUGUACAAAAAGCAACAGAGUUAUGAAAUAUCUGAAACAAAAACUGGUGAAACUGAAAAGAGAAAUAGACAAGUCUACAAUUACAGUUGUAAACUUCAAUAGCCCUCUUUCAACAAUUGAUAUAAUAACUAGGCAGAAAAUCAGCAAGAAUAUAGAAAACUCAACAACACUAUCAACCAAUAGGAUCUAAUUGACAUUUAUGGAACACUCCACCAGACAAACAGCAGAAUACACAUUCUUCUCAAGAGCCCAUGGAACCUAUACUGAGAUAGAUCAUAUCCUAGACCAUAAAACAAACCUCAACAAAUUUAAAGGAUUGAAACCAUACAAAGUGUGUUCUCUGACUACAAAGGAAGAAAACUAGAAAUCAACAACAGAAUGAUAAACAAUGCAUUUCUAAAUAAUCCAUGGAUCAAAGAGGAAGUUCCAAAAGAACUGAAUAAAAAUGAAAGUACAGCAUAUAAAAAUUUGUGGGACACAGCUAAAGCAGUGCUUAGAGGGAAAUUUACAGCAUUAAAUGCUUACAUUAGAACAGAGAAACAGUCUGAAAUCAGUAACCUAAACUCCUACCUCAAGAACCUAGACAAAGAAAAGAAAAAUGAACACAAAAUAAAUAGAAGAAAAUAAAAUUCAGAAAUCAUUAAUCACAAAUUAAUGUGAAACCAGAAAAACAAUACAAAAAAUCAAUAAAACUAAAACCUCACCCUUUGAGAAGAUCAAUUACAUUGACAAAACUCUAGCAAGACUGACAAAGGGAAAAAAAAGAAAAUCCACAAAUUACCAAUACUAAUACAACAGGGAAUAUCAUGACAGAUCCUGCAGAUAUUAAAAAGAUAAUAUGGGAAUACUGUGGCAAUUCUACAUGCAAAACUCUAGCAAUUUUGAUGAAAUAGGCCAAUUCCUUGAAAAUCACAAAGUACAACAACUAAUUCAGAACGAAAUAAUUUGUGUAGUACAAUAACUAUUAAGAAAAUUGAAUUCAUAAUCUUAAAGUUCUCCCAAAAUAAAUUAUCAGGCCCAGAUGAUUUCACUGGAGAAUUAUUCCCAAUGUUUACAGAAGAAUUAACACCAACUUUACACACUUUCCUCCAGAAAAUAUAAGAUAACAUGCCUAAUUCAUUUUAUGAAGCUAUUAUUACCCUGAUAUCAAAAUCAUAGGGAGAUAGUACAAAAAAAGAAAAUCAUUAGCCAAUAUCACUCAUGAAAAUACAUGUAAAAGUUCUUAAGAAUAUAUAAGCAAAUAGAAUUCAAUAAUAUUUUAGAGAAAUUAAGUAUAUUCCAUGACAAAGUGGGCUAAUUUCAGGGAUGUAAGGUUAGUUCAAUAUUUGAAAAUCAAUCAGUGUAAUCCACCAUUUAACAGACUAAAGAAAAAUAUCACAUGAUCAUUCCACUUGAGAAUGAGCACUUGAAAAAAUUCAACACUAAUUCAUACCAAAAGCUCUCAGAAAACUAGAAAUAGAAGUGAAUUUCCUCAACUGGUUAAAGCCACUAUUAUACUUAAUGAUGAAAAAUUUAACGCUUUCCCUCAAAGAUCAGAAAUAAAACAAAGACAUCUGCUUUUAUCACUCUUACUCACCCAUAUUACUGGAAGUUCUAUUCAAUACAAUAUAUCAAGAAAAGGAAAUAAAAAUUACAUUGAUUAGGAAGAAAGAAACAAGACUAAUUCUAUUUGUAGGUAUAAUUGCCUACACAAAAGUUCCUAAGGAAUCUACAAGAAAUCUCCUAAAAAUACUAAGUGAGUUCAACAAGGUCAUAGGAUAGAAAAUGAACAUACAAAAAUGGAUUCUAUUUCAUUAUACUAGCAAUGAACACAUAAACACCAAAAUUAAAAAUACAACUUACAAUCACUCAAAAAAUGAAGUACUUGAAUGUAAAUUCAACAAAACAUAAACAGUAUUUAUGUGCUGAAAGUUACAAAAUGCCGAUGAAGGAAAUAAAAAAAAUCUAAAUAGAGAGACAGGCUGUAUUUAAUGACUGGUAGACUCAACAUAUUAAGGAUAUUAAUUUUCCCUAAAUAGAUAUAUAGGUUUAAUCCAAUUCCUUUCAAAAUCCCAGGCAGAAUUUCUGUAGAUAUGGGCAACAUCUUUCUAACAUUUAUAUAAAAAAGUAAAGGAAGAAAAACAGCUUUAAAUUUUUUAAUAAAGUGAAAGAAAUCAGUCUUUUUAAUUUCAAGACUUAUUAUGUAGCUAUAGUAAUCAAAAUUGUAUAAUAUUGGUAGAAGGGCAGACACAUAUAUCAGUGGAACUGAACAGAAAACCCAGAAAUAGAGCCAAACAAAUAUGCCUAACUGACUUUUGAUGAAGGUGCAAAAGCAAUUCAAUGGAGGAAGAACAGCCUUUUCAAUAUAUGGCACUGGAGCAAUUGCACAUCUACGGGAAAAUAAAUAAAUAUGAACCUCAACAUACACCUCACAUUUUAUUACACAUAAAAAUUAACCCAAAAUGGAUUGCAGACUAAAGUGUAAUUUGCAAAACUGUUUUGCAUUCUGUGUUAGAAAAAAAUUGGAUGAAAAUUUUGGGAUUGAGUUGUAGGCAAAGAAUUCUUAGAUUUGUGCUCUCUUUGGCAGCACAUAUACUAAAACUGGAAUGAUACAGAGAAGAUUAGCAUGGCCCUUGAACAAGGAUGACACACAUAUUCAUGAGGCGUUCCAUAAUUUUCAAAAUAGACCCAGCUGAGGAAUGACUCUCAGAGUUCAAAGACUGGUUGUCUGAACUGACUCAGUCAGACAAAUAUAAAGAAAAGACAAUAUCUUAAUGAAAAAAAAAACCUCUGAGAAUUAUGGGAUUACAUAAAUAGACCAAAUCUAUGACUCAUUGGCAUCCCUGAAAGAGAGAGAGAAAAUAAGCAACUUGGAAACAUAUUUGAGUAUAUCAUCCAUGAAAAUUUCCCCAACCUUACUACAGAGGCCAAUAUUUAAAUUCAGAAAAUGUAAAAAAUGCCUGUGAGAUACUGUACAAGACAACCACCCCCAAGACACACAGUCUUCAGAUUUUCCAAGACUGACAUAAAAGGAAAAAUAUAAAGGAAGAUAGAAGGGGAAGGUCACCUACAAAGGGAAAUUUGACAGGCUAAUAAUGGACUUUUCAGCAGAAAUCCUACAUGCCAGAAGAGAUUGGGUGGGGUGGGCGGGGGGUGCGGUUAUAUUCAAUAUUCUUAAAGAAAAGAAACUCCAAUAAAAAAUUUCAUAUCCAGCCAAACUAAACUUCAUAUGUAAAGGAGAAAUAAGAUUCUUUUCAGACAAGCAAACACUAAAGGAAUUAAUUAUCACCAGACCUGCCUUACAAGAGGUCCUUAAGGGAGUGCUAAAUAUGGAAACAAAAGACUUACUGGCCACUAAAAAAA
rnacentral:lncRNA from 1 species